AUUAGAGUUUGAUCCUGGCUCAGAUUGAACGCUGGCGGCAGGCCUAACACAUGCAAGUCGAACGGUAGCACAGAGAGCUUGCUCUUGGGUGACGAGUGGCGGACGGGUGAGUAAUGUCUGGGAAACUGCCCGAUGGAGGGGGAUAACUACUGGAAACGGUAGCUAAUACCGCAUAACGUCUUCGGACCAAAGUGGGGGACCUUCGGGCCUCACACCAUCGGAUGUGCCCAGAUGGGAUUAGCUAGUAGGUGGGGUAAUGGCUCACCUAGGCGACGAUCCCUAGCUGGUCUGAGAGGAUGACCAGCCACACUGGAACUGAGACACGGUCCAGACUCCUACGGGAGGCAGCAGUGGGGAAUAUUGCACAAUGGGCGCAAGCCUGAUGCAGCCAUGCCGCGUGUAUGAAGAAGGCCUUCGGGUUGUAAAGUACUUUCAGCGAGGAGGAAGGCGGUAAGGUUAAUAACCUUACUGAUUGACGUUACUCGCAGAAGAAGCACCGGCUAACUCCGUGCCAGCAGCCGCGGUAAUACGGAGGGUGCAAGCGUUAAUCGGAAUUACUGGGCGUAAAGCGCACGCAGGCGGUUUGUCAAGUCGGAUGUGAAAUCCCCGGGCUUAACCUGGGAACUGCAUUCGAAACUGGCAAGCUAGAGUCUCGUAGAGGGGGGUAGAAUUCCAGGUGUAGCGGUGAAAUGCGUAGAGAUCUGGAGGAAUACCGGU
rnacentral:rRNA from 1 species